AUUUCAGCCAUAUCGUGAGCUAAAACUAGUUAAUACAGUUGAGAGUUAGACUGACUAUUCUGUUCUUGAAGCAAGACUGAUUUUUUUGCGGAGGUUUGGUUAGACUAAUUAUUCUGUGGAGUUGAGGUUAGACUGAUUGUUCUAUGGAGUGGAAGUUAGACUGAUUGUUCUGUGUAGUUGAGGUUAGACAGAUAAUUCUGUGGAGUUGAGGUUAGACUGAUUAUUCUGUGCAGUUGAGGUUAGACUGAUUGUUCUGUGCAGUUGAGGUUAGACUGAUUGUUCUGUGCAGUUGAGGUUAGACUGAUUGUUUUGUGGAGUUGAGUGAGUGAGUGAGUUUUAAAGUCACAUCGGCAAUAUUUCAGCCAUAUCGUGACUAAAACUAGUUGUGCAGUUGAGGAGUUAGACUGACUAUUCUGUUCUUGAAGCAAGAGGGAUUUUUUGCAGAGGUUUGGUUAGACUAAUUAUUCUGUGGAGUUGAGGUUAGACUGAUUGUUCUAUGGAGUGGAAGUUAGACUGAUUGUUCUGUGUAGUUGAGGUUAGACAGAUAAUUCUGUGGAGUUGAGGUUAGACUGAUUAUUCUGUGGAGUUGAGGUAAGACAGAUUAUUCUGUGGAGUUGAGGCUAGACUGAUUGUUCUGUGCAGUUGAGGUUAGACUGAUUGUUCUGUGCAGUUGAGGUUAGACUGAUUGUUCUGUGCAGUUGAGGUUAGACUGACUAUUCUGUUCUUGAAUCUAGACUGAUUAUUUUGCGGCGGUUAGUUUAGACCGAUUAUUCUGUUGAGUUGAGGUUAGACUGAUUAUUCUGUGGAGUUGAGAUUAAAAUGAAUAUUCUGUGUUGAGGUUAAACUGAUUAUUCUGUGGAGUAGGGAUUAGAAAGAUUAUUCUGUUGAGUUAAGGUUACACUGUUUUUUCCGCGGAGUUCAGAUUAGACUGAUUGUUCACUGUAGUUGAAUUUAUACUGAUUAUUCUGUAUAGUUGAGGUUAGACUGAUUAUUCUGUGGAGUUGAGGGUUAGACUGACAUUAUUUUGUGGAGUCAGGAUUAGACUGAUUAUUCUGUGGAGUUCAGAUUAGACUGAUUAGUCUGUGGAGUUGAGGUUAGACUGUUUAUUCUGUGUAGUUGAGGUUAGACUGAUUGUUCUUUUGGGUUGAGAGUUAGACUGAGUUGUUCUGUGCAGUUGAGGUUA